UUUUUUUAGAAAUAAAUUUAAUUUACAAGUUUUUAAUUUUUUGGUUAUUUAUUUAAUUUAAAAAUUUAAUUAUUUGACUAUCUUAAGGGAUAAGCUUUAAGAUAAAUUGUUAAAAAUUAAUGUUUAUAAUAUAAAAUGUAUGCUUAGAAUUAGCAAUCGUUUACAAGUUUGUUAUAAAUUAUUUUAUUUGUUGUAUUAUUUAAUUAUAUUUUGAUUUGUUUAUAAAAAUUUUUUUAUUAAUAUAAUAUAAAAAGAAAUAAUGAUAAAAUUAGUAUAUUAGUUGUGUUUAAAUAAUUUAAUAUGAUAAGUUUAUAUAAAGAACUCGGCAAAAAUUUUACCCGCCUGUUUAACAAAAACAUGUCUUUUUGAGUUAUUUUUAAAGUCUGACCUGCCCACUGAAUUUUUAAAUGGCCGCAGUAUUCUAACUGUGCAAAGGUAGCAUAAUCAUUAGUCUUUUAAUUGA
rnacentral:rRNA from 1 species